GCCUGGCUGGCUUAGUCCAUAGAGCAUAUGACUCUUAAUCUUGGGGUCAUGAGUUCAAGCCCCAUGUUGGGGG
rnacentral:tRNA from 1 species